UUAAAGUUUUAUUUUUACUUGAGAUUUUAAUACAUUUUUUUUUUACAUGUAAAAUUUAGUUUCUUAAUGAUACUUUAAGCAGUAUUUAAUAUUAAAAAUUUAAUUAUUUAAGAUUUAGAAAUUGAUUAGAAUAUUAAUGAAAUUUGUGCCAGCAAUUGCGGUUAUACAAAUAAUGUGAUUGAAAGUUUUUGGUUAAUAAUUAAUUAUUUAAAUUUAUUUAAAUUUAUUAUUAAAUUUAUUAGGUGAAAUUUUAAAUUUAAUUUUAAUUUAAUUAGAAUUUAUGAAGUUAUUAAAAUUUAAAUUUAAACUAGGAUUAGAUACCCUACUAUUUUUAUUGUAAAUUCAUAAUGCCUGAUUAUUAAUAGAAUAUUUUCUUGAAAAUUAAAGAUUUUGGCGGUAUUUUAGUCCAUUCAGAGGAACCUGUCCUAUAAUUGAUAGUCCACGAUUUACUUUACUUUUUUUUUUAGUUUGUAUAUCAUCGUGAUUGAACAUUUUAUUAGAAAAAUAAUGUUCAAUUUUUGUAAUAUCAAUUAAUAUCAGAUCAAGGUGCAGCUUAUGGAAAAGAAGAGAUGGGUUACAAUAAAUUUAUUUAUGGUUUAUGAGUUUAAGUACUUAUAUUAAAUUGGAUUUGAAUGUAAUAUUUAUUAAUUAAUAAAUGUGAUUUUGGCUCUAAAAUAUGCACAUAUUGCCCGUCGCUCUCAUUUAAGGUGAGAUAAGUCGUAACAUAGUAGAUGUACUGGAAAGUGUAUCUAGAAAGAU
rnacentral:ncRNA from 1 species